UACGUAGGUGGCGAGCGUUGUCCGGAAUUACUGGGUGUAAAGCGCGUGUAGGCGGCAGGCCAAGUCGGUGGUGAAAGCGCCCGACUCAACUGGGCGAGGUCCAUGGAAACUGGUCAGCUGGAGGACGGUAGAGGCGAGUGGAAUUCCCGGUGUAGUGGUGAAAUUCGUAGAUAUGGGGAGGAACACCGGUGGCGAAGGCGGCCAUCUGGACGGAUACUGACGCUGAGACGCGAAAGCGUGGGGAGCAAACAGGG
rnacentral:rRNA from 1 species